rnacentral:rRNA from 1 species
AGGUCAAGCUACAAAGGGCGCAUGGUGAAUGCCUUGGCACUAGGAGCCGAAGAAGGACGCGAUAAGCUGCGAUAAGCCUUGGGUAGCCGCAAAUAGGCUGAGAUCCAGGGAUUUCCGAAUGAGGAAACUCACAUGGGUAACCCCAUGUAUCAUGCACUGAAUACAUAGGUGUAUGAGGGUAAACCCGGGGAACUGAAACAUCUAAGUACCCGGAGGAAGAGAAAGAAAAAUCGAUUUCCUAAGUAGCGGCGAGCGAACGGGAAAGAGCCCAAACCAGAAACUUGUUUCUGGGGUUGCGGAUAGAUCAUAAAAGAAGAGGUAUCUUAAUCGAAGAGGGCUGGAACGCCCUACCAUAGAAGGUAAUAGUCCUGUAGGUAAAAAGAGAAAACUUCGAGAUCUAAUCCAGAGUACCACGAGACACGUGAAACCUUGUGGGAAGCAGGGAGGACCACCUCCCAAGGCUAAAUACUACCUAGUGACCGAUAGUGAAGCAGUACCGUGAGGGAAAGGUGAAAAGAACCCCGGAAGGGGAGUGAAAUAGAACCUGAAACCGUGUGCCUACAACCGAUCGGAGCACGUUAAAG